UACGGGGGGGGGCAAGCGUUGUUCGGAAUUACUGGGCGUAAAGGGCUCGUAGGCGGCCAACUAAGUCAGACGUGAAAUCCCUCGGCUUAACCGGGGAACUGCGUCUGAUACUGGAUGGCUUGAGAUUGGGAGAGGGAUGCGGAAUUCCAGGUGUAGCGGUGAAAUGCGCAGAUAUCAGGAAGAACACCAAUGGCGAAAGCAGCUCUCUGGGACGGUACUGACGCUGAGACGCGAAAGCGUGGGGAGCGAACAGG
rnacentral:rRNA from 1 species